rnacentral:rRNA from 1 species
UACGUAGGGAGCAAGCGUUGUCCGGAAUCAUUGGGCGUAAAGCGCGCGUAGGUGGCCACAUAAGUCCGUUGUGAAAGUCAAAGGCUCAACCUUUGAAAGCCGAUGGAUACUGUGUGGCUAGAGUACGGAAGAGGCGAGUGGAAUUCCUGGUGUAGCGGUAGAAUGCGCAGAUAUCAGGAGGAACACCAAUAGCGAAGGCAGCUCGCUGGGACGUUACUGACACUGAGGCGCGAAAGCGUGGGGAGCGAACAGG